rnacentral:rRNA from 1 species
AUUGAACGCUGGCGGCAGGCCUAACACAUGCAAGUCGAGCGAGCGGCGGACGGGUGAGUAAUGUCUGGGAAACUGCCUGAUGGAGGGGGAUAACUACUGGAAACGGUAGCUAAUACUGCAUACCAUCAGAUGUGCGCAGGGGGGAUUAGCUAGUAGGUGGGGUAACGGCUUACCUAGGCGACGAUCCCUAGAUGGUCUGAGAGGAUGACCAGCCACACUGGAACUGAGACACGGUCCAGACUCCUACGGGAGGCAGCAGUGGGGAAGAUUGCACAAUGGGCGCAAGCCUGAUGCAGCCAUGCCGCGUGUGUGAAGAGGGCCUUCGGGUUGUCAAGUACUUUCAGCGGGGAGGCGUUACCCGCAGAAGAAGCACCGGCUAACUCCGUGCCAGCAGCCGCGGUAAUUC